rnacentral:piRNA from 1 species
UAGUUACAGUCAAAUACAUAGCUGAGGUC